AGCGAACGCUGGCGGCAGGCUUAACACAUGCAAGUCGAGCGGGCGUAGCAAUACGUCAGCGGCAGACGGGUGAGUAACGCGUGGGAACAUACCUUUUGGUUCGGAACAACACAGGGAAACUUGUGCUAAUACCGGAUAAGCCCUUACGGGGAAAGAUUUAUCGCCGAAAGAUUGGCCCGCGUCUGAUUAGCUAGUUGGUGAGGCAACGGCUCACCAAGGCGACGAUCAGUAGCUGGUCUGAGAGGAUGAUCAGCCACAUUGGGACUGAGACACGGCCCAAACUCCUACGGGAGGCAGCAGUGGGGAAUAUUGGACAAUGGGCGCAAGCCUGAUCCAGCCAUGCCGCGUGAGUGAUGAAGGCCCUAGGGUUGUAAAGCUCUUUUGUGC
rnacentral:rRNA from 1 species